UGGCUCAGGACGAACGCUGGCGGCGUGCUUAACACAUGCAAGUCGAACGGAAAGGCCCUGCUUUUGUGGGGUGCUCGAGUGGCGAACGGGUGAGUAACACGUGAGUAACCUGCCCUUGACUUUGGGAUAACUUCAGGAAACUGGGGCUAAUACCGGAUAGGAGCUCCUGCUGCAUGGUGGGGGUUGGAAAGUUUCGGCGGUUGGGGAUGGACUCGCGGCUUAUCAGCUUGUUGGUGGGGUAGUGGCUUACCAAGGCUUUGACGGGUAGCCGGCCUGAGAGGGUGACCGGCCACAUUGGGACUGAGAUACGGCCCAGACUCCUACGGGAGGCAGCAGUGGGGAAUAUUGCACAAUGGGCGGAAGCCUGAUGCAGCAACGCCGCGUGCGGGAUGACGGCCUUCGGGUUGUAAACCGCUUUCGCCUGUGACGAAGCGUGAGUGACGGUACUGGGUAAAGAAGCACCGGCUAACUACGUGCCAGCAGCCGCGGUGAUACGUAGGGUGCGAGCGUUGUCCGGAUUUAUUGGGCGUAAAGGGCUCGUAGGUGGUUGAUCGCGUCGGAAGUGUAAUCUUGGGGCUUAACCCUGAGCGUGCUUUCGAUACGGGUUGACUUGAGGAAGGUAGGGGAGAAUGGAAUUCCUGGUGGAGCGGUGGAAUGCGCAGAUAUCAGGAGGAACACCAGUGGCGAAGGCGGUUCUCUGGGCCUUUCCUGACGCUGAGGAGCGAAAGCGUGGGGAGCGAACAGGCUUAGAUACCCUGGUAGUCCACGCCGUAAACGAUGAGUGCUAGGUGUUGGGGGGUUUCCGCCCCUCAGUGCUGAAGCUAACGCAUUAAGCACUCCGCCUGGGGAGUACGGCCGCAAGGCUGAAACUCAAAGGAAUGACG
rnacentral:rRNA from 1 species